rnacentral:rRNA from 1 species
GGCGGACGGGUGAGUAAUGCCUGGGAAAUUGCCCUGAUGUGGGGGAUAACCAUUGGCAACGAUGGCUAAUACCGCAUGAUAGAUUCGGCUCAAAGAGGCGGACCUUUUGGCCUCUCGCGUCAGGAUAUGCCCAGGUGGGAUUAGCUAGUUGGUGAGGUAAGGGCUCACCAAGGCGACGUUCCCUAGCUGGUCUGAGAGGAUGAUCAGCCACACUGGAACAGAGACACGGUCCAGACUCCUACGGGAGGCAGCAGUGGGGAAUAUUGCACAAUGGGCGCAAGCCUGAUGCAGCCAUGCCGCGAGUGUGAAGAAGGCCUUCGGGUUGUAAAGCACUUUCAGCAGUGAGGAAGGUAGUGUAUUUAAUAGAUACAUUAUUUGACGUUAGCUGCAGAAGAAGCACCGGCUAACUCCGUGCCAGCAGCCGCGGUAAUACGGAGGGUGCGAGCGUUAAUCGGAAUUACUGGGCGUAAAGCGCAUGCACGUGGUUGGCUAAGUCAGAUGUGAAAGCCCAGGGCUCAACCUUGGAAUCGCAUUUGAAACUGGCUGACUAGAGUACUGUAGAGGGGGGUAGAAUUUCAGGUGUAGCGGUGAAAUGCCUAGAGAUCUGAAGGAAUACCGGUGGCGAAGGCGGCCCC